rnacentral:tRNA from 1 species
CCUUCUGUAGCUCAAUUGGUAGAGCAUGUGACUGUAGAAAUAGCAGAUAUCACAGGGUCGCUGGUUCGAUUCCGGCCGGAAGGA